AACCUGCCUUUAGGUUCGGAAUAACUCAGAGAAAUUUGAGCUAAUACCGGAUAAUGUCUUCGGACCAAAGAUUUAUCGCCUUUAGAUGGGCCCGCGUUGGAUUAGCUAGUUGGUGGGGUAAAGGCCUACCAAGGCGACGAUCCAUAGCUGGUCUGAGAGGAUGAUCAGCCACACUGGGACUGAGACACGGCCCAGACUCCUACGGGAGGCAGCAGUGGGGAAUAUUGGACAAUGGGCGAAAGCCUGAUCCAGCAAUGCCGCGUGAGUGAUGAAGGCCUUAGGGUUGUAAAGCUCUUUUACCCGAGAUGAUAAUGACAGUAUCGGGAGAAUAAGCUCCGGCUAACUCCGUGCCAGCAGCCGCGGUAAUACGGAGGGAGCUAGCGU
rnacentral:rRNA from 1 species